rnacentral:rRNA from 1 species
GCCUAACACAUGCAAGUCGAACGGCAGCACAGAAGAGCUUGCUCUUUGGGUGGCGAGUGGCGGACGGGUGAGUAAUGUCUGGGAAACUGCCCGAUGGAGGGGGAUAACUACUGGAAACGGUAGCUAAUACCGCAUAACGUCGCAAGACCAAAGUGGGGGACCUUCGGGCCUCACACCAUCGGAUGUGCCCAGAUGGGAUUAGCUAGUAGGUGGGGUAAUGGCUCACCUAGGCGACGAUCCCUAGCUGGUCUGAGAGGAUGACCAGCCACACUGGAACUGAGACACGGUCCAGACUCCUACGGGAGGCAGCAGUGGGGAAUAUUGCACAAUGGGCGCAAGCCUGAUGCAGCCAUGCCGCGUGUAUGAAGAAGGCCUUCGGGUUGUAAAGUACUUUCAGCGGGGAGGAAGGCGGUGAGGUUAAUAACCUCGCCGAUUGACGUUACCCGCAGAAGAAGCACCGGCUAACUCCGUGCCAGCAGCCGCGGUAAUACGGAGGGUGCAAGCGUUAAUCGGAAUUACUGGGCGUAAAGCGCACGCAGGCGGUCUGUUAAGUCAGAUGUGAAAUCCCCGGGCUUAACCUGGGAACUGCAUUUGAAACUGGCAGGCUUGAGUCUCGUAGAGGGGGGUAGAAUUCCAGGUGUAGCGGUGAAAUGCGUAGAGAUCUGGAGGAAUACCGGUGGCGAAGGCGGCCCCCUGGACGAAGACUGACGCUCAG